rnacentral:rRNA from 1 species
CCCUAAAAAGUUGUAAAGGCAUAAAGGUUUGGUCCUAGCCUUAUUAUCAGUUAUCUCUUAAUUUACACAUGCAAGUCUCUGCACCCCCGUGAGGAAGCCCUUUAAUCCUACCCCAGGACAAGGAGCAGGUAUCAGGCUCAACCUUUUGCCCAUGACACCUAGUUUUACCACGCCCCCAAGGAUAGUCAGCAGUGAUAAACUUUACUAAUAAGCGACAGCUUGACUUAGUUAUAGAGAAGAUAGUUGGCCAACUCGGUGCCAGCCGCCGCGGUUAGACCCUGAAGCUAAAAUUGAUAAUCAUCGGCGUUAAGCGUGAUUAAAGCUACUACUACACUAGAGUAAAACUCCUUGCCCAGCUGUGAAAAGCUUGCAUUGUGGAAUCCCAUAAACGAAAGUUACUCUAUCUUACGCUUGAACACACGACAAUUAGGAACACAAACUGGG